UACGUAGGGGGCAAGCGUUGUCCGGAAUCAUUGGGCGUAAAGAGCGUGUAGGCGGCUCGGUAAGUCCGCUCUGAAAAGCCCGGGGGCUCAACCCCGGGGAGGCGGGCGGAUACUGUCGGGCUAGAGUCCGGAAGAGGCGAGUGGAAUUCCUGGUGUAGCGGUGAAAUGCGCAGAUAUCAGGAAGAACACCCGUGGCUAAGGCGGCUCUCUAGUACGGUACUGACGCUGAGACGCGAAAAGCGUGGGGAGCGAACAGG
rnacentral:rRNA from 1 species